GUCCUUGCUUCCCUGAUACACACUCUCUCUUUCCUGGCAGAUCUAUAAUUAGCUGAUAGAUCAGUCUGCAGAGGGUUGAGGCCUCCUAUGUGACCUAAUAGGGCUGCAUCUCAAUAGUCUACAGUAGAGCUUGGACGACAAACCCCAAAUUACCAACACUGACAUUUCUAACUGAUACCCAAGCAAUUUUCCCCCUAGACUGUUUUCAGAUAAAUGGACAGAGAGGAGAGAUGGAGAGGAAAGAGAGGUGGAGAGGAAAGAGAGAUGGAGGUGAAAAAGAGAUGUAGAGGAAAGAGAGGUGUAGAGGAAAGAGAGGUGUAGAGGAAAGAGAGGUGUAGAGAGGAAAGAGGUGGAGGAAAGAGAGGUGUAGAGGAAAGAGAGGUGUAGAGGAAAGAGGUGGACAGGAAAGAGAGGAGGACAGGAAAGAGAGGAGGACAGGAAAGAGAGGUGUGGAGAGGAAAGAGAGGUGGAGGUGAAAGAGAGAUGGAGAGGAAAGAGAGAUGGAGAGGAAAGAGAGGUGGAGAGGAAAGAGAGAUGGAGAGGAAAGAGAGGUGGAGAGGAAAGAGAGGUGGAGAGGAAAGAGAGAUGGAGGUGAAAGAGAGAUGGAGAGGAAAGAGAGAUGGAGAGGAAAGAGGCGGAGAGGAAAGAGGCGGAGAGGAAAGAGAGGUGUAGAGAGGAAAGAGAGGUGGAGAGGAAAGAGAGGUGUAGAGAGGAAAGAGAGAUGGAGGUGAAAGAGAGAUGGAGAGGAAAGAGAGAUGGAGAGGAAAGAGGCGGAGAGGAAAGAGGCGGAGAGGAAAGAGAGGUGGAGAGGAAAGAGAGAUGGAGAGGAAAGAGAGAUGGAGGUGAAAGAGAGGUGGAGAGGAAAGAGAUGGAGGUGAAAGACAGAUGGACAGGAAAGACAGGUGGAGGUGAAAGAGAGAUGGAGGUGAAAGAGAGAUGGAGGUGAAAGAGAGAUGGAGGUGAAAGACAGGUGGAGGUGAAAGAGAGAUGGAGGUGAAAGAGAGAUGGAGGUGAAAGAGAGAUGGAGGUGAAAGAGAGAUCAGGGUGAAAGAGAGAUGGAGGUGGAGGUGAAAGAGAGGUGGAGGUGAAAGAGAGGUGGAGGUGAAAGAGAGGUGGAGGUGAAAGAGCGUGGACAGGAAGGAGAGGUCGAGGUGAAAGAGGUCGAGUUGAAAGAGGUGGAGAGGAAGGAGAGGUAGAGAUGAAAGAGGUGGACAGGAAGGAGAGGUGGAGAUGAAGGAGAGGUAGACAGGAAGGAGAGGUAGACAAAGGAGAGGUAGACAGGAAGGAGAGGUAGACAAGAAGGAGAGGUGGACAGGAAGGAGAGGUGGACAGGAAGGAGAGGUGGACAGGAAGGAGCGGUAGACAGGAAAGAGGUAGACAGGAAGGAGAGGUGGAGAUAAAAGAGAGAUGGACAGGAAGGAGAGUUGGACAGGAAGGAGAGAUGGACAGGAAGGAUGUGGACAGGAAGGAGCGAUGGACAGGAAGGAAAAGUGGAGAUGAAGGAGAGGUGGAGGUGACAAGGAGAGGAAGCCUCUUUCACCGUAACCAUUAGAUAUUAGUGAUUAGGUCAGCCUGCUGCUGUGUCCUGAGCACCAUACUGCUCCCAGAGCACUGUUCAUCCAUUAUUCAGACUCCCUCAGGCACCACGGCAACCCACAAUCCAAUUAGACCAGCAGGUGUGUGUGUCUCAGAGUGACAGCACAGACUGCCUGUUACCAACUAUAACUGUACUCAGCUGCAGAACAUCUAACCCAGUUUCCACUACCAAGUCUCAGAUCAUGUAAAGCUUGCUUUACUCCAUAGCGUCAAAAC
ensembl:lncRNA